UACGGGGGGGGCAAGCGUUGUUCGGAAUUACUGGGCGUAAAGGGCUCGUAGGCGGCCAACUAAGUCAGACGUGAAAUCCCUCGGCUUAACCGGGGAACUGCGUCUGAUACUGGAUGGCUUGAGAUUGGGAGAGGGAUGCGGAAUUCCAGGUGUAGCGGUGAAAUGCGUAGAUAUCUGGAGGAACACCGGUGGCGAAGGCGGCAUCCUGGACCAAGACUGACACUGAAAAGCGAAAGCCAGGGGAGCAAACGGG
rnacentral:rRNA from 1 species